GAAUGGGUGAGUUUGUGAACGAGUGGGCAAGUUAGUGUGUGAGUGGGCGAGUUAGUGUGUGAAGCAGUGGGCAAGUUUGUGAAUGAGUGGGUGAGUUACUGUGUGAAUGAGUGGGCAUGUGAAUGAGUCGAUGAGUUAGUGUGUGAAUGGGUGUGUGAACGAGUGGCUGAGUUAGUGUGUGAAUGGGUUAGUGUGUGAAUGAGGGAUUUUGUGAAUGGGUGUGUGAACGAGUGGGUGAGUUAGUGUGUGAAUGAGUGGGUGUGUGAAUGAGUGGGUGAGUUGGUGUGUGAAAGAGUGGGUUAGUGCAUGAAUGGGUGGGUUAGUGUGUGAAUGGGUUGUGAACGAGUGGGUGAGUUAGUGUGUGAAUGAGUGGGUGACUGUGUGAAUGAAUGGGUUAGUGUGUGAAUGAGUGGGUGAGUUAGUGUGUGAACGAGUGGGCGAGUUUGUGAAUGAGUGGGGGAGUUAGUGUGUGAAUGAGUGGGUGAGUUAGUGUGUGAAUGGGUGUGUGAAUGAGUGGGCUAGUGUGUGAAUGAGUGGGUGUGUGAACGAGUGGGUGAGUUAGUGUGUGAAUGAAUGGGUUAGUGUGUGAAUGGGUUAGUGUGAGUGAGUCAGUGGGUUAGUGUAUGAAUGAAUGAGUGGGUGGGUUAGUGUGUGAGUGGGUUAGUGUGAAAGAGUGGGCGAGUUAGUGUGUCAAUGAGUGGGCGAGUUUGAAUGUGUGUGAACAAGUGGGUGAGUUAGUGUGUGAAUGAGUGGGUUAGUGUGUGAAUGAGUGGGUGUGUGAACGAGUGGGUGAGUUACUGUGAAUGAAUGGGUGGGUUAGUGUGUAAAUGAAUGGGUGAGUUAGUGUGUGAGUGGGUUAGUGUGUGAAUGAGUCAGUGGGUUAGUGUGUGAAUGGGGGUUAGUGUGUGAAUGGAUGAGUUAGUGUGUGAAUGAGUGGGUUAGUGUGUGAAUGAGUCGGGUUAGUGUGUGAAUGACUGGGUGGGUUAGUGUAUGAAUGAGUGUGUGAAUGGGUGAGUUAGUGUGUGAACGAGUGGGCGAGUUAGUGUGUGAAUGGGUGAGUUAGUGUGUGAAUGAGUGGCUGAAC
rnacentral:lncRNA from 1 species